GGUCUUAUAGUUUACUUAAAAUUUUAAAUUGCAAAUUUAAAGAUGAAUUUAAUAUAUCUAAGACUU
rnacentral:tRNA from 1 species